GAUGAACGCUGGCGGCGUGCUUAACACAUGCAAGUCGAACGGAAAGGCCUCUGCUUGCAGGGGUACUCGAGUGGCGAACAGGUGAGUAACACGUGGGUGAUCUGCCCUGCACUUCGGGAUAAGCCUGGGAAACUGGGUCUAAUACCGGAUAGGACAAUGGUUUGGAUGCUGUUGUGGAAAGUUUUUCGGUGUGGGAUGAGCUCGCGGCCUAUCAGCUUGUUGGUGGGGUAAUGGCCUACCAAGGCGUCGACGGGUAGCCGGCCUGAGAGGGUGUACGGCCACAUUGGGACUGAGAUACGGCCCAGACUCCUACGGGAGGCAGCAGUGGGGAAUAUUGCACAAUGGGCGCAAGCCUGAUGCAGCGACGCCGCGUGGGGGAUGACGGCCUUCGGGUUGUAAACUCCUUUCGCUAGGGACGAAGCGUUUUUGUGACGGUACCUGGAGAAGAAGCACCGGCUAACUACGUG
rnacentral:rRNA from 1 species